rnacentral:rRNA from 1 species
GAUGAACGCUGGCGGCGUGCCUAAUACAUGCAAGUCGAGCGAACAGACGAGGAGCUUGCUCCUCUGACGUUAGCGGCGGACGGGUGAGUAACACGUGGAUAACCUACCUAUAAGACUGGGAUAACUUCGGGAAACCGGAGCUAAUACCGGAUAAUAUAUUGAACCGCAUGGUUCAAUAGUGAAAGACGGUUUUGCUGUCACUUAUAGAUGGAUCCGCGCCGCAUUAGCUAGUUGGUAAGGUAACGGCUUACCAAGGCGACGAUGCGUAGCCGACCUGAGAGGGUGAUCGGCCACACUGGAACUGAGACACGGUCCAGACUCCUACGGGAGGCAGCAGUAGGGAAUCUUCCACAAUGGGCGAAAGCCUGACGGAGCAACGCCGCGUGAGUGAUGAAGGUCUUCGGAUCGUAAAACUCUGUUAUUAGGGAAGAACAAAUGUGUAAGUAACUAUGCACGUCUUGACGGUACCUAAUCAGAAAGCCACGGCUAACUACGU